rnacentral:rRNA from 1 species
CACCUCUAGCAUAACAACUAUUAGAGGCACCGCCUGCCCAGUGACAUAUGUUCAACGGCCGCGGUACCCUGACCGUGCAAAGGUAGCAUAAUCAUUUGUUCUUUAAUUAAGGACUUGCAUGAAAGGCCUAACGAGGAUUUUACUGUCUCCUACUUCCAAUCAAUGAAAUUGACCCCCCCGUGAAGAGGCAGGGAUAAUCAUAUAAGACGAGAAGACCCUACGGAACUUUAAUUAACUAGCCUAAUCAUGACCCAUACAAACCUAGCGGGGGCAACUUUCCAUGACCUAGACUAGCAAUUUCGGUUGGGGCGACCUCGGAGUACAAAAAACCCUCCGAAUGAUCACGCACCCAGACCUCACCAGUCAACGUGCCUCAAUAUCAACUCAAUUGACCCAAGUAAUUGAUCAACGGAACAAGCUACCCUAGGGAUAACAGCGCAAUCCUAUUUCAGAGUCCAUAUCGACAAUAGGGUUUACGACCUCGAUGUUGGAUCAGGACAUCCCAGUAGUGUAACCGCCACUAAAGGUUCGUUUGUUCAACGAUUAAAGUCCUACGU